UCUCUGCCUCCUGCCCGCAUGGUCAGUGCAUGGGCCCUGCCCCUGACAGCCACUGCCACUUUGCUCCUGUGUGACUGCUGUGAAGUGAGGGUGCCCAGCGGCAUGGGGGGGGGCUGCCAGGAGCCGGGCAUGCAGCUGCUAGUGCACACAGCCCACCACAGCAAUGCCCAGGCAGGAGCUGGGGGUGGCACUGACUAAAGUUUGGGGGAGGCUAGAAAAUGACUUGACCCUCUUUGGCUUGGGUCAGGUGAGCUUGGUCUGGUUCCUGAAUAAAUAUUAGGCCUGAGCAGACCUCUACUGUCGUGAGCCAUGUGGCCAGCAUUUGGGCAGCGUGGUACCGCGCUCCACAGCGCCCUCAGCCGGCUGAUUCCAGAGCCAUGGUGACGGACUCAUGGGCAGGCCUGAUUCCUGCUGAACCAGUGCCCACUAGAGGAAGCUGGGCUCUCACUGUGCAAGGGGCCUGCUUUCAGUCCACACAGAGAAGUGGGGCACAAUCCUCUGUUUCUCCUGGUGCCCCUGUCUUACAGACACUGCAAGCUCUGGCGUGAGGGGUGCCACAGAGCCUUUGCCUACAGAGACCAUCGCUUCCCUACCAGAGCGCAGACAGGACCUAGGGCUGAAGCCACUGUGGGAGAGUGGCAGCCCCUUUCCCCUGACGGCUCGCAGCUGGUCAGCAUGGGCAACAGCCAGAGGCGCUCAGGAGCGGGGCACUAUGUGAGAAAGCUCUUUCGAUCCCACCAAUGCCCUGGCUGCCUCGUCCAUCAGCCCAGCCCUGGAGAGCUAAGCAGCUGGCCUGGCGCGGCGCAGGUGGGAAAUGCUGGUUCGGAUGCUGGCCCUGUGAGCGCCGUGGCUGAGUCUUCUCCACCCAGUACAGGAGCCUGGUGAUCUGGUGAUGGGGACAAGUGUGUGUCUGUGGGGAAACACAGCGAAGUGGCAAAGGUCUACCCAGAAGCUCCCCUCUGCAGUGCCAGCCACAUGCCCUCUCUGGUUUAAUGCGACUGACCCAGCCGUGCCAGCUGCUCAGGGAUGUGGCAGGGCUGCGGAGAAUGCCUGGCUCCUGCUUCACAGGAAGGGUGGAUGCAGGAGCAGCCUCUGCAACCCUGAGCUGGUCAUGCCCGUGGGGCCAGGAGCUAAAGCCCAGGCACCAGGGGAAACUGAUCCUGCUGCACGGGCAGGCUCCCUGACCCUGGGCGAGAAGGGCUGGCAGGGCAGACCACGGAGCUGGGCCUCUGGUCUGAAGCCUGCCCAGCGGCCCUCCUUGGAAAGGGGAUGUGUCUGGGACAGGCAGGGCAAAGCAAGAGUAGCAGCCGGGCCUGCACGGGGCUAAGCAUGGUACACGCAGGGGGACAAGACGGGGACCCUGCCUGAGCACCCCCUCAUAGCCCAUAGCACUGGCGGGGGCUCCCUACCUCCAGCCCCCCCCCAGCCAAGCUCCCUCCCCUCCCCUCCCCCGCCGCUCCCCUCCCCCCAGCCA